AGAACGAACGCUGGCGGCAAGCCUAACACAUGCAAGUCGAACGGAUAAUUGUUUAUAUCUUUGGUAUAAAUAAUUGUUAGUGGCAGACGGGUGAGUAAUGCGUAGGAAUCUACCUAGUAGUAUGGAAUAGCCAUUAGAAAUGAUGGGUAAUACUGUAUAAUCCCUGCGGGGGAAAGAUUUAUCGCUAUUAGAUGAGCCUACGUUAGAUUAGCUAGUUGGUAAGGUAAUGGCUUACCAAGGCUAUGAUCUAUAGCUGGUCUGAGAGGACGAUCAGCCACACUGGAACUGAGAUACGGUCCAGACUCCUACGGGAGGCAGCAGUGGGGAAUAUUGGACAAUGGGCGAAAGCCUGAUCCAGCUAUGCCGCGUGAGUGAAGAAGGCCUUCGGGUUGUAAAGCUCUUUCAAUAGGGAAGAUAAUGACGGUACCUAUAGAAGAAGUCCCGGCAAACUCCGUGCCAGCAGCCG
rnacentral:rRNA from 1 species